rnacentral:tRNA from 2 species
GCGGUGUUAGCUCAGUUGGUAGAGCAUCGGAUUGUGAUUCCGAGUGUCACCGGUUCGAUCCCGGUACAUCGCCCCA